rnacentral:hammerhead_ribozyme from 1 species
AUCCAUCUGACGAAUCCCAAAAUAGGACAAAAUGCUCGUCUUGGAU